rnacentral:rRNA from 1 species
AACGAACGCUGGCGGCAUGCCUAAACACAUGCAAGUCGAACGAAGCCUUCGGGCUUAGUGGCGCACGGGUGCGUAACACGUGGGAAUCUGCCCUUCGGUUCGGAAUAACAGUUAGAAAUGACUGCUAAUACCGGAUGAUGACGAAAGUCCAAAGAUUUAUCGCCGAAGGAUGAGCCCGCGUAGGAUUAGGUAGUUGGUAGGGUAAUGGCCUACCAAGCCGACGAUCCUUAGCUGGUCUGAGAGGAUGAUCAGCCACACUGGGACUGAGACACGGCCCAGACUCCUACGGGAGGCAGCAGUGGGGAAUAUUGGACAAUGGGCGAAAGCCUGAUCCAGCAAUGCCGCGUGAGUGAUGAAGGCCUUAGGGUUGUAAAGCUCUUUUGUCAGGGAAGAAAUCUUCUGGGUUAAUACCUCGGGAGGAUGACGGUACCUGAAGAAUAAGCACCGGCUAACUACGUG